UAGGGAAUCUUCGGCAAUGGGGGGAACCCUGACCGAGCAACGCCGCGUGAGUGAAGAAGGUUUUCGGAUCGUAAAGCUCUGUUGUUAAGGAAGAACGAGUGUGAGAAUGGAAAGUUCAUACUGUGACGGUACUUAACCAGAAAGGGACGGCUAACUACGUGCCAGCAGCCGCGGUAAUACGUAGGUCCCGAGCGUUGUCCGGAUUUAUUGGGCGUAAAGCGAGCGCAGGCGGUCAAUUAAGUCUGAUGUGAAAGCCCCCGGCUCAACCGGGGAGGGUCAUUGGAAACUGGUUGACUUGAGUGCAGAAGAGGAGAGGGGAAUUCCAUGUGUAGCGGUGAAAUGCGUAGAUAUAUGGAGGAACACCAGUGGCGAAGGCGACUCUCUGGUCUGUAACUGACGCUGAGGCUCGAAAGCGUGGGUAGCAAACAGG
rnacentral:rRNA from 1 species